CGCCCUCUCUCUCUCUCUGUCAAAUAAAAUCUUUUUUUAAAAAAGAGACCCUACUGAUUAUAAGGAAUGUCCCAAUCCAGAAAUGUUAAGAUGUGAAAGUGUCCAGUUGGUGAGAAGCAGACUGUAUUGUCAGUUGUGAUAAGGGCAGAGGAGAUGGCCACGCUGGUGGCAAAGGACGGAAGCACAUCACAUCCCCUGCGAAAGACACUCAUCUGCACACCUGAGCUGGAGACUCCCAUUUCUGUCUUGACGAAAGAGAAUACGUGGACCUAGGAAGUACUUCAGACAGUAGAAAGGGAAUAGAAUGAAAGGCUCUCAAGGUCGCCGUGGAGCGGCACGGAGGGAACAGCGUGCGGUUCUGAACAGCGGCUGAGCACCCAGUACAUGGCUUGCCCCCACCCGGGUGGCCCGGCCCUCAUGGACACGGAGGUGGUCCCUGAUGUUCUGCAACGCAUUUGUGUGUGCGCGCACAUGCACGUGCAGGUGCACAUCUGUGGAGUCAAGUCCUGGGAGUGGGCUUCUCCCUCUGCGGACUUCCAAGCUGUCUACCAGAGACGCAUCAACUCACCCCUUUCCAUCAACAUGGGGGACAGGUCCCCCCCUCCCUGUCUCUCAUCGUUCUGUGAGGCCUCCAGCUGCUCUAUGACAUGGGCCCGUUCUCACCUGCCUGCCCCUCUCUGAGCUGAGCGGCUGUCCCGUAGUUUCAUGUGCAUGUUCUCAUGGGUGAGGGUGUGCCUUCUCAAGUUGAAAAGUCCUGGUUUUUCCCUCUCGA